rnacentral:rRNA from 1 species
UACGUAGGGGGCAAGCGUUGUUCGGAAUUACUGGGCGUAAAGGGUUCGUAGGUGGCCACUUAAGUCAGACGUGAAAUCCCUCAGCUUAACUGGGGAACUGCGUCUGAUACUGAGUGGCUUGAGUGCAGGAGAGGAAUGCGGAAUUCCAGGUGUAGCGGUGAAAUGCGUAGAUAUCUGGAGGAACACCGGUGGCGAAGGCGGGUCUCUGGGCAGUAACUGACACUGAGGAGCGAAAGCCAGGGGAGCAAGCGGG